GAGGAAGAGCUAUCGUUAACAGGAGUAAAAGAUUGUUUGUGAAACGUAUGGAAUCGAUUCUUCCAAGUAUUUUUGCUUAACGGAAAUGUGGCUGUAGGAGACUCAAUUUGUUGCUGCUUGUUAACUUUUUGUAACGGAGAUAUAGAAGGUGAAAUAGGAAAGAAAGAAUCGUCAUACUUCAUCGGCGAUUCAAAACUCGUAAACGAGGAAAAACUUCGAUUU